GACGAACGCUGGCGGCGUGCCUAAUACAUGCAAGUCGAACGGAGUGGCGAACGGGUGAGUAACACGUGGGUGACCUGCCCUGCACUACGGGAUAAGCCUGGGAAACUGGGUCUAAUACCGGGUAGUGUGGGAUGGGCCCGCGGCCUAUCAGCUUGUUGGUGGGGUAAUGGCCUACCCAGGCGGCGACGGGUAGCCGGCCUGCGCGGGUGGACGGCCACAUCGUGACUGAGACACGGCGCAGACGCCUUCGGGUGGCAGCAGUGGGGAAUAUUGCACCAUGCGCGGAAGCCUGAUGCAGCGACGCCGCGUGGGGUAUGACGGCCUUCGGGUUGUAAACUCCUUUCACCAUCGACGCGGUAGAUGGAGAAGAAGCACCGGCUAACUACGUGCCAGCAGCCGCGGUAAUAC
rnacentral:rRNA from 1 species